CCUACGGGUGGCAGCAGUGAGGAAUAUUGGUCAAUGGGCUUACGCCUGAACCAGCCAAGUCGCGUGAGGGAAGACUGCCCUAUGGGUUGUAAACCUCUUUUGUCAGGGAGCAACGCCGGCUACGUGUAGCCGUACUGAGUGUACCUGAAGAAAAAGCAUCGGCUAACUCCGUGCCAGCAGCCGCGGUAAUACGGAGGAUGCGAGCGUUAUCCGGAUUUAUUGGGUUUAAAGGGUGCGUAGGCGGAAUGCCAAGUCAGCGGUAAAAUCGCGGGGCUCAACCUCGCUCCGCCGUUGAAACUGGCGUACUUGAGUGGGCGAGAAGUAUGCGGAAUGCGUGGUGUAGCGGUGAAAUGCAUAGAUAUCACGAAGAACACCGAUGGCGAAGGCAGCAUACCGGCGCCCAACUGACGCUGAAGCACGAAAGCGUGGGUAGCGAACAGGAUUAGAUACCCUUGUAGUC
rnacentral:rRNA from 1 species